GAAAUGCCUAAUUCUGGCAGGAUCCUGGUAACUUGGGUAACGGGCUGUUAGGAUGAGAAGCUUGGACUCCUCUCGUUUCCCCCUAAGACACUUUAGUCUGGGGCGGUCUCUGUGAUGCGGAAAUAUUUUCCUCUCCGGAGGGUUCCCUUCUCACCAUGUCUGGCUGGCGGCGUCCCAGAUGCCAUGUGAUGGUCAUUUGAAGACAGGACUGCCGGAUAUCAGGUUUCAUCCAAUUUUUGUGUUUAUCUGAAUUGUUGAUGCUGGAUGCAGGAGAAACCCAAGUGAUCAUUUUGUUAUUAAGGUAUCAAAGCAGCUUACAUUAGAAUGAAACUUUUCAGAAAGUUCAUGAAAGAUGCUGAAUGUCAUGGAAGGCCCAAAGUCCACAUGAGGAGAGAAGAUGCCUGAGACAAACAACUCCUAAUAAUAAUAAAUGUAAGAACUAAUUUUUUUUUGUAGCAUGUAGUACAUGUUACAUGAUUGUUUUAUGCCAUUUUAUCCUUUAACAACACCAUGAGGGACAUCCUGUUAUUCUCAUUUAAAUAUGUAGACAUUGGUAAGUACUGAAGCCAGGAUUCAGGAUUGAGACCCUAGCCAUCAAAAGGUGGCCAUUUUGAUGAUUGCAGGCUUCACCCUCCUAUGUACCCUGUAACAACUCAGCUAUUUGCCUUGGGAAGAAAUUGUUAAUGGUGAGUGAUGACAAUGUAGGACUGAGCUAGAGAGGAGAAUUCUAAGUCUGAAUUGAGGUUUCACUUAAUAAUAUUGAGCAGAAGAUGAUGAUGCAGGAGGCAUCAUGUGACAAAUAAAUUCCAAGAUCCUUUUAAACA